rnacentral:rRNA from 1 species
GACGAACGCUGGCGGCGUGCCUAACACAUGCAAGUCGAGCGGGGUUGAAGCGAGGGGUAACUCGAGUUUCUACCUAGCGGCGGACGGGUGAGUAACGCGUGGGCAACCUGCCUCAAGGACUGGGAUAACAGCUCGAAAGGGCUGCUAAUACCGGAUAAGCCUAUGGCCUCGCAUGGGGCCAUGAGCAAAGGGGAAACCCGCCUUGAGAUGGGCCCGCGUCCCAUCAGCUAGUUGGUGAGGUGAAGGCUCACCAAGGCGACGACGGGUAGCCGGCCUGAGAGGGUGACCGGCCACACUGGGACUGAGACACGGCCCAGACUCCUACGGGGGGCAGCAGUGGGGAAUCUUGCACAAUGGGCGAAAGCCUGAUGCAGCGACGCCGCGUGAGCGAAGAAGGCCUUCGGGUUGUAAAGCUCUGUCUGGAGGGACGAAGGAAGUGACGGUACCUCCGGAGGAAGGCCACGGCUAACUACGUGCCAGCAGCCGCGGUAAACGUAGCGUG